UACGGAGGGCGCAAACGUUGCUCGGAAUCAUUGGGCGUAAAGCGCACGUAGGCGGCCCAGUAAGUCGGAUGUGAAAGCCCUCGGCUUAACCGAGGAAGUGCAUUCGAAACUGCUAGGCUUGAGUAUGGGAGAGGGUUGCGGAAUUCCCGGUGUAGAGGUGAAAUUCGUAGAUAUCGGGAGGAACACCAGAGGCGAAGGAGGCAGCCGGGACCAAUACUGACGCUGAGGUGCGAAAGCGUGGGGAGCAAACAGG
rnacentral:rRNA from 1 species